rnacentral:tRNA from 1 species
ACCUGGCUGGCUCAGCUGAUAAGACCAUGAGACUCUUGAUCUCCGGGUUGUGAGUUCAAGCCCCAUGUUAGGUA